rnacentral:rRNA from 1 species
UACGGAAGGGGGCUAGCGUUCGCUUCGGAAUCGAUACGUGGGCGUAAAGCGCAGACGUAGGCGGACUCUUAAGUCCGGUGGUAGGAAAAUCCGUGGAGCUCAACUCCCAGAACUGCCCUUCGAUACUGGAGAGUCUCGAGUCCGGGAGAGGUGAAGUGGAACUGCGAGUGUAGAGGUGAAAUUCGUAGAUGUUCGCAAGAACAACCCGUGGCGAAGGC